AAAGGGACACUAGGUGUGUUUCGGAAGUAUCCUGGUGUGACUGGACUUGAAGCGGAGAAUUGGGGUCUGAUUUCUUGCUCCUGAUGCUUACUAACUUUGAGAUUAUGUGUAACACAGCAAAGAAUGACGUUCGGAUAAUAAGAACUAUGGCUUGAGGCUGGGAAGGCCAAAGUCAGAGUGCCAACAUGCUGGGAUUCUUGGUGAGGGCCCCAUCCAUGGCCUGCAGAGAGAUUAGGAUACACGGGCACCAGGGAAAAGGCCACGUGAGCACACAGCCAUCUGCGAGCUAAGGAGAAGACACCUUAAAAGAAAUGAAACCUGCCCACACCUUGAUCUUGGACUUCCAGCCUCCAGAACUGUUUUGUCUGUUUCAAACAUUUGCUUUUAAGUCUUCGUGUGGACAUAAGAUUUUGUUUUUCUUGGGUAAAUGCCUAGGAGCAAAAUUGCCGGAUCAUAAGGUGAGUGUUUUACCAUAAUGAGAAACUACAUAACUGUUCUGCAAAGUGGCCUUACCAUUCUGCAUUCUUAUCAUUAGUGUAUGAGAGUUGCAGUUGCUCCACAUUCUUGACAACACUAAUAUUAGCAAUCUUUUAAAUUUUAGUGGUCCUAAUGGUUGUGUAGUAGUAUCUUAUUGUGGUUUACAUUUUUAUUUACUUAGUGACUAAUGGCAUUGAGCACCCUUUUGUAUGUUUGUCAUUGUGUAUCUUCUUUGGCAAAGCAUCUGUUCAAAUCUUUGAUCUUUUUUAAAAAAUUCAGUU